GGAACUAAAUUCAGAAAACUUGGGUGAAAUUACUCUGUUGUCAAAACUUCAUAAUGACCUCACUAACAAGCUGGAUGCCAGUCCUAAUGACGUUUCUUCUUCUCUUACAUUUCUGGAGAGCAAAGGUCUAUGCUUCUGGAGAUUCAGAGGAAAUAGAUUUCACGUAUCUUAUUAUAGGAGUUACUCUGGGAGCCUUUCUAGCAAUUGGUUUUAUAGCAGUAAUAAUUUGCAUGAUCAAAAAACAAAUGCUUGACCAUGUCUUCAGAGGUCAGAGUGCAAAAUGGAUAGAAGGUAAGAGUCAUUGCUUUUUCAGAGAUGACACCAACACACCAGAACAGCAAAGUACAAAUAAGCAAUAAUCUUUUUGCCAUUGACAGUUACCUGGUCUGAGAAUCAAUGGAUGUCUCUUGCAUACAAACAAGAAUCUCACUAGCAGUAUUUCCUUUCUUUGUUCUUUAGCUGAAAGACCAAUUGAUUGACUGAUGACAGGAAGACCUUACAGUGCAUGCUAACUUCCAUCACCUGCACCACAAAGCCUGCAAUCCCCAGCAGUAUGCACAAAGAGGAAAUGUAUGAGGAAAAUAAACAAGAUGAGCUCUGCUCAUUAGCAGAUCCUGUUUAGUCUGUGACAAGUGUAUGAUUGAUUUCUAAAAUCAAUUAAAUACAGGGUAAAUGAAACGCUAGCAAUACAUUUCAGCUGCAAAAUUCAUAGUUGUGCUCACAUUUCAAGUGAGGUUGAAUUAACUUAAAACUCAUUCAUUUGAGGUUGAAGUAAGAUGGGAAAAAUGAUUUGUGUUAAUUUGAAAACAUUUCAUUCACACUAAAGUUAUAUUUUUUAACUUUAGGAUCAAUAUCUUUUGUUUAACUUUUGAUGGCCAUGUUAAUUACAGUUAUUUUAAAUGAAUUGUGGUCAAUUACAAACAAAGGUUUUUCAUAUUUUGCUUUUAGAAAAUUGAAAUUAAGAUAUUGGUGUAUACCCAAAAUAAAAACUUUCUGGACAUCUGAAAUGAAAUGUUCCAUUUCAACUUUCUACAAACAAGCCAAUCUACCACUUCCAAAAUCCACCCAUCUUCAUUUCUUUCAGUAUAAAACAAUGCACUAAAUUCAAUCUGAAUUCUCCUGAAUAAUAUAUAUCCUGAAUAAUUUCAGUCUCCCAUCCCCUUCAUUCUUGGUCUAGCCUUGUAUAUUCUGUUCAAUUUAUUUCCACCAGCUCUGUGUUACUUGGUUCUAGUUACAGCCUUCUUAUAAAUGACAAGAAAAAAGAAUGGCAACAGUUACUCAACUCCAGCUUGGAAAAUCUGUAUUUUAUUAAAAAGUGUGACUUGAAAAACUCAUGGAUACCAGGUACCCCCACCUAGUAAUUAACUUCCAGGCUGUGAACAGCUACAAUCAGCCCUAUGUGUUAUAGGCAGAGCUGAUACCCUGAGUCAGGGCCUUGGAGUCAAAAGUGUCAGAGCAGAAAUAUCAAAAUUAUGUUUCUAUGAGGAAGAUAUUGUACUAAAUACUAAUUGAAACUGAAGUGAUCUGGAUGUGUUUUUGUUCUGGCCAUAGAGAGUCAGGUAAUUUUUCCAAAUGUACCAAGGAAACCCUAUUACUCAGAUUGUAAUUUUUAGCAUGUUUUGAACAAGAAAAUGUAAGUUUUAUUUCAGAGAAAAGUGAUAUAUUGGAAUAAUUUCCCUGGAUUCCCUAGGUAUCUGUUACGCACUUCAGUAUCAGUGCAGUUCAUUAGUAGCAUUUGCUAAUGGAUAAGCUAAAGCAGUAAUGUGAUACUUGCAAGUAAUUGUGUGUAUGUACAUGUGUAAGUGAAUAAACCAUCUUGUAAG
rnacentral:lncRNA from 7 species